GUGAGGAAUAUUGGUCAAUGGGCGCAAGCCUGAACCAGCCAUCCCGCGUGAAGGACGACGGCCCUAUGGGUUGUAAACUUCUUUUGUACGGGAAGCACGUGCGCUAUGUAUAGCGUAUUGACGGUACCGUACGAAUAAGCAUCGGCUAACUCCGUGCCAGCAGCCGCGGUAAUACGGAGGAUGCGAGCGUUAUCCGGAUUCAUCGGGUUUAAAGGGUGCGUAGGCGGCCCGGUAAGUCAGCGGUGAAAGUUUGCGGCUCAACCGUAAAAUUGCCGUUGAUACUGUCGGGCUUGAGUUCAGAUGAAGUGGGCGGAAUGAGUAGUGUAGCGGUGAAAUGCUUAGAUAUUACUCAGAACACCGAUUGCGAAGGCAGCCCACUAAACUGCGACUGACGCUGAUGCACGAAAGCGUGGGGAUCGAACAGGAUUAGAUACCCUUGUAGUCC
rnacentral:rRNA from 1 species